CAAUAGAUUUACUUGAUAAACAAAAACAACAAGUGUGAUGAUAAACUCAACAACACAACACAAAUAUUAACAAAAAAGUGAAGUAAAGGCAAAAAUUUAAUCUAAUUAGAAAUAAGCUAAAAUUAUUUGCAACAGUUUAUUUUAUUUUUUCAAUGGUGUAACAAAAAGUAAAAAAUCUUACAAACAAAAGAAAAAAGUACCUGAUAACGAAUGCUGGAAUCUCAUUUAUCAUCAAUAAAAUCUAAUUCUUAUUAAGAACGUGACAAAGACUUAUAAGUGUUGACUAAUAUAGUACCUAAAUCUUGAAUCAAUUUUACCUCUACAAUGGUGGUAAAUACUUCCGUAAUAGCUGAGCUAUGCAUUUAUAUAUUAACAUGGAAUGUGGGUACCCAUCAACCGGGUGACAUAUCACUAAGUGAUAUGUUGUCUCUAAAUGGUACUACCAAAUGUCCUGAUAACAAAUUACCUGAUAUGUAUAUUAUGGGCUUCCAAGAAGUCAGUAGUAAACCAAAAAAUCAAUUUAUUAAUAUCUUCCAAGAUGAUCAGUGGACUUUAAAAUUGCGUGAAGAAUUAUCCGAACAUGAUUUUGUUAAAGUGGAAACCGAACAAAUGCAGGGUUUAUUGAUAAAUGUUUGGACAAGACCCGAACAUGUCUUCCAUAUGCAGGAUAUAGAAACGGAAAAGACUAAAACGGGUCUAGGAGGUUUGUGGGGCAAUAAGGGUGCUGUUAGUGUACGCAUGAGUCUCUAUGGCACGGGAGUAACAUUUAUUGUGGCCCAUUUAGCUGCCCACGAUGAGGAGCUUAAGGAACGUGUCAUAGAUUACAAUCAAAUUGUGGAUAAUCAUCAUUAUAAGGCCAAGAGAUAUCGCACCAUAUUCGAUCAUGAUGUAGUAUUCUGGUUUGGUGAUUUAAAUUUCCGUUUAAAUGGCCAUGACUCGGCCUGGGAUGUUCGAGGAGAUGUUGAAAAUAACCGCCUGGAUAGUCUCUUUACACGCGACCAACUUUCCAUGGUUAGGGAAGCAGGCAAUGCCUUCGCUUUAAUGGAAGAACAACAACCCACUUUUCCUCCCACCUUUAAGUUUAUCGAAGGAACUUCAGACUACGAUCUCAAGCGUAGACCAGCCUGGUGUGAUCGUAUUCUAUAUAGAGUAGUUAAAGAUAAAUAUCCUGAUAUUGAAUUGGAGCUACAACAACUGUCCUAUAAAUCUCAUCCUCAAUAUACUUUAUCGGAUCAUAAGCCGGUAACCGCAGAAUUUUUAUAUACCAUCAAAGCCACCACCCAUACCACCGAGGAAAUAUAUGCCAUGACUCAUGGAGGCAGUGAGACACCUCUAUCCAGUGUAAUUAUCAUAAUGUUUUCCUUAUACUUAACCGUGUUUUAUUAACAUUAUUUUUCCUUUUUGUUUUCUUAUUUUUUUUUUUUAUUUGUUCGUUUAACACUUUUUGGCUUUCUUCUACUUAACAUUGAUUGGCUUUUCCUAUUCGUUUGUAAGUAGUUUUAUUAGAAAAGAAUAUAUUCAUACACUUGUUUCCAUAAGUUCUAAGCGUUUUAGCAUUUAACCCUUAAGACUCGAAUUAUAUAAAUUUUGCUUACUUUUAAGGGAAAUUUUUUGAACAUUUUUAAACAUUUAGUUUGUUUAUUUAAAAAGGGUUAUGCUAGUAGGCUUAGUAUGUAUUAGUGUUAUGGCCAUUAUCAUUACUUUUUAUUAUUUCAUUUAACUACUUAUUUAACUACUUAUUAUUAACCCUUAAAUGUUGAAAAAUAGUCAUCUAUUAAUAUUUAAAUUUUUUUUUGUAUGGUUGUGGUCAAAGUUAGAUCUAUUUUGAUUUCACAUUAAGAAGUAUAUUAUUUAUCGACCAAUGGAAGACUUUGGCUGGCUAAUACUUUCGUUUCGCAAGUCUCUUGCGGUCCUAUAUGAGUUGGGAGGCGUUACUAAGUCCAAUUUUGUUAUUGUUAGGUUUCGGUACCUAUAGAAUGACAAUACCAAUGAAGAUGCAACUGGCACAGAUAGACUUGCAUCACUGUGAGAAAGCUUCAGUCAUACUAGCAACAUUCCUCAUUAACACCCAGACGAACUCCUCAUCAACUUAUCGACUAUAGAUAGUUCUAUACUUUUGACUUAUACAGUUCUAAAGUCUCGACUAUAGACAGUAGUAUAGUCAAGACAAUGGAUACUUCUGUGGUCUUCACUAUAAACAGUUCAAUAGUCUUGACUAUAGACACUUCUAUAGUCUUGACUAUAGACACUUCUAUAGUCUUGACUAUAGACACUUCUAUAGUCUUGACUACAGACACUUCUAUAGUCGACUAUAGACACUUCUAUAGUCUUGACUAUAGACACUUCUAUAGUCUUGACUAUAGACACUUCUAUAGUCUUGACUAUAUACAGUUCUAUAGUCUUGACUAUAGACAGUUCUAUAGUCUUGACUAUAGACAGUUCUAUAGUCUUGACUGUAGACAGUUCUAUAGUCUUGACUAUAGACAGUUCUAUAGUCUUGACUAUAGACAGUUCUAUAGUCUUGACUAUAGACAGACCUAUAGUCUUGACUAAAGACUUAUAUAUAAUCUUGAGUACAGACAGGUCCAUAGUCUUGAUUAUAGGCAGGUCUAUAGUCUUGAGUAUAGAAAGUUCUAUAGUCUUGACUAUAGACAGUUCAAUAGCCUUGACUAUAGACAGUUCAAUAGCCUUGACUAUAAACAGUUCUAUAGUCUUAACUAUAGACAGUUCUAUAAUCUUGACUAUAGACAGUUCUAUAGACUUGACUAUAAACAGUUCUAUAGUCUUGACUAUAAACAGUUCUAUAGUCUUGACUAUAGACAGUUCUAUAGUCUUGACUAUAGACUGUUCUAUAGUCUUGACUAUAGACAGUUCUAUAGUCUUGACUAUAGACAGUUCUAUAGUCUUGACUAUAGACAGUUCUAUAGUCUUGACUAUAGACAGUUCUAUAGUCUUGACUAUAGACAGUUCUAUAGUCUUGACUAUAGACAGUUCUAUAGUCUUGACUACAGACACUUCUAUAGUCGACUAUAGACACUUCUAUAGUCUUGACUAUAGACACUUCUAUAGUCUUGACUAUAGACACUUCUAUAGUCUUGACUAUAGACACUUUUAUAGUCUUGACUACAGACACUUCUAUAGUCGACUAUAGACACUUCUAUAGUCUUGACUAUAGACACUUCUAUAGUCUUGACUAUAGACACUUCUAUAGUCGACUAUAGACACUUCUAUAGUCUUGACUAUAUACAGUUCUAUAGUCUUGACUAUAGGCAGUUCUAUAAUCUUGACUAUAGACAGUUCUAUAGACUUGACUAUAAACAGUUCUAUAGUCUUGACUAUAGACAGUUCUAUAGUCUUGACUAUAGACAGUUCUAUAGUCUUGACUGUAGACAGUUCUAUAGUCUUGACUAUAGACAGUUCUAUAGUCUUGACUAUAGACAGACCUAUAGUCUUGACUAAAGACUUAUAUAUAAUCUUGAGAACAGACAGGUCCAUAGUCUUGAUUAUAGGCAGGUCUAUAGUCUUGAGUAUAGAAAGUUCUAUAGUCUUGACUAUAGACAGUUCAAUAGCCUUGACUAUAGACAGUUCAAUAGCCUUGACUAUAAACAGUUCUAUA